GUCUGUCUGAGGUGGCGUGUAGAAGCAUGGGUUAUGAAGGGGGCGUGGGGAAGGCUUACCCCGGCGGCCAUUUUGGUGUUGGGGACGGUGUUAUCCAAUUGGACCUGCCCAACUGCAAGAAAUGAUGGUAGGGCUGGCAGCGAUGUGAGUGAGGAGGACGCCACCGGCGGAGUCACUGGCAGUAGUGCUGACGGAGUGACAAGAGAAGGAAGUAGUGCCAGUGGAAGAGGAGAUGGAGCAGGAAAAAAAACAUUAGUACCGCCGCCACCGCCAGCAGGAGGAAGGGGGAGAGGCGGCCCCAGGAAGUACAACAUCCCAGCAGUGAGCUGAAGAAGCUUGACCAACUGUUUGUUUCCGAGGACGACAAGGUGACGUAUGAUCGCCGCCAGACGCCUUCUUACCCAGCAGGUAACGAUCGCCACCACCACCACCACCACCACCACCACCACCACUUCCACCACCACCACCACCAUCACCAUCAAGAGGUGAAGUCCAAUCCCUUUUGGUGUUCCACGUGCCGAGCGAAUCCGGGGAGAAGGUGACUCAGGGCAUCUCGGCGCUGCUCUCCAUGACUGUCUUCCUCUUGACCAUCAGAGUCCCUGCCGCCAGCUGA